rnacentral:rRNA from 1 species
AGAGGAAGUAAAAGUCGUAACAAGGUCUCCGUUGGUGAACCAGCGGAGGGAUCAUUACC